rnacentral:rRNA from 1 species
GAUGAACGCUGGCGGCGUGCUUAACACAUGCAAGUCGAACGGAAAGGCCCAAGCUUGCUUGGGUACUCGAGUGGCGAACGGGUGAGUAACACGUGGGUGAUCUGCCCUGCACUUCGGGAUAAGCCUGGGAAACUGGGUCUAAUACCGGAUAGGACCACUUCUUGGAUGUUGUGGUGGAAAGUUUUUUCGGUGUGGGAUGAGCUCGCGGCCUAUCAGCUUGUUGGUGGGGUAAUGGCCUACCAAGGCGUCGACGGGUAGCCGGCCUGAGAGGGUGUACGGCCACAUUGGGACUGAGAUACGGCCCAGACUCCUACGGGAGGCAGCAGUGGGGAAUAUUGCACAAUGGGCGCGAGCCUGAUGCAGCGACGCCGCGUGGGGGAUGACGGCCUUCGGGUUGUAAACUCCUUUCGCUAGGGACGAAGCGUUUUGUGACGGUACCUGGAGAAGAAGCACCGGCUAACUACGUG